AAAGUGCUGGGAUUACAGGCUUGAGCCACUGAACUUGGCCUCUCUCUCUGUGUCUUCAUGUGUCUUCAACGCCAAGAGGGAGCCUCUGGCCCCUUAGGGUCGGGGUCCCAGAGGCCCAUGGUCAAGGCUAUGGCCGCCUCCCAAGGAGGUGCAUCCCUGCAAGAGGCUGCAUCCAACAGUCAAGGAAGAGGCUCCGAUGGGGCCCGCUGGGGAAAGCAAGUGGAGGUGCCCCUUGAAGAAAUGGGGAUCCCAUCAAUCUCAGGGGUUCUGUCCUGGUCUGCCGCCCUGGAUCAUCCACCCUCUGCUGGGAUGGGGAGCAGACGACGCCCUUCUUGGCUGGCGCUGAGGGUGGGGGAGUCACGCUUCCCCAAAGGCCUAGCGGGGGUUCCAGUCACAGGCCCCACUGGGCAGCGCCUGGCGCCGCCCCGCCUCUCCAGCUUUGGCACUCGCCCUCAACAAAGAUGGCGCGGACGACCUCAUGCGCGUCACGCGACCCUCCCGCAUGACUCCUCCAGCGCCGCGCUUAUCCCCGCACACCGCGGCCGAGAGGGGGAGCAGGAAGCAUGGACUGGCGGGCGGCUGUGGCCCGGGAGGCUCUCGGGCCGCUGUUGUGUGGCUGCGCGCUGGCGCUGCCGGGCGGGAUGCUGUACCCCCGGGAGAGCCCGUCGCAAGAGCGCCAGGAGCUGGACGGCCUCUGGAGCUUCCGCGGCGACUUCUCCGACAACCGACGCAGGGGCUUCGAGGAGCAGAGAUACUGGGUCUGACUACGUUAACCAGCCUGGUCUGGAACUCCUAGCCUGAAGCCAUCCUCCCACGUUGACCUCCCACAGCGCUGAUUACAGUCAUGAGCCACCAGACACUCCUCAGGCCUGAGCGGCAGGCGCUGCCCAGAGCUGGGUCCGGGAUUGGGAGGAGGGGACAGUUUGGACAUUCUGAGGUCAGCUCUGCGCAGUCGGGCCCCACCUUGGACGUACCGGUUCCCUCCAUCUUGAUCGACAUCAGCCAGGACUGGCGGCUAUGGCAUUUUGUCAGCUGGGUGUGGUAUGAACGGGAGGUGACCCUGCUGGAGCGAUGGAUCCAGGACCUGUGCACAAGAGUGGUGCUGAGGAUUGGCAGUGCCCACUUCUAUGCCAUCGUGGUAUCCCAAGGGUUACUUUGUCCAGAACACAGACUUUGACUUCUUCAACUAUGCGGGACUGCAGCGGUCUGUGCUUCUGUACACGACACCAACUACCUACAUCGAUGACAUCACCAUCACCACCCGUGUGGAGGAAGACAGUGGUGAGAGCUUCUGGGCUGGUGAAUUACCAGAUCUCCAUCAAGUGCAGUAACCAGUUCGAGUUGGAAGUGCGUCUUUUGGAUGCAGAAAACAUUUGGAUGCAGAAGUCGUGGCCAAUGGGGCUGGGACCCAGGGCCAGGUGAAGGUGCCGGGUGCCAGCCUCUGGUGGCCAGACCUGAUGCACGAACACCCCGCCUACCUGUACUCGGGGGAGAUCCGAGGGAAGGACUUCGACCUGCUUCGCUGGCUUGGCACCAACACCUUCUGCACCAGCCACUAUCCCUACGCAGAGAUGCUGCAGAUGUGUGACUGAUAUGGAAUUGUGGUUAUUGAUGAGUGUCCCGCUGUGGGCCUGGUGCUGCCAUGAGUCCCUGCUGUGCAUCUGCUCCGCCUGGCCAGCCCAUGGGCCACACCGUGCCUCCGUCCCUUCCCUCCUGGCCCCCGGCAGCUCUUCAACAACGUGUCUAUGCAUCACUACAUGUGGGUGAUGGAAGAACUGGUGCACAGAGACAAGAAUCACCCUGCCGUGGUGAUGUGGUCUGGCCAGGAGCCUACAUCCUACCUAGAAUCUGCCAGCUACUACAUGAAGUGAGUGCCCCUGGCAUGCUCUGGGCUGGAUCAGGAAGGAGACCCUGGCAGGUGGCAGAUGGGUGGACGUGUGCAGUCCGAGAUCAGCGUCCCAUCCCAAUCCAAUGGGAAGGCCGUCCAUACCCGGACAGUUCAGGGAACCAGAUAUCUACUUACCCAAAUUGUGGUUUUAUUUUUCUGUUUUUGAGACGGAGUUUUGCUGUGUCGCCCAGGCUGGAGUGCAGUGGUGAGAUCUUGGCUCACUACACCCUCGGCCUCCU